AGAGCGAACGCUGGCGGCAGGCCUAACACAUGCAAGUCGAACGGACCCUUCGGGGUUAGUGGCGGACGGGUGAGUAACACGUGGGAACGUGCCUUUAGGUUCGGAAUAGCUCCUGGAAACGGGUGGUAAUGCCGAAUGUGCCCUUCGGGGGAAAGAUUUAUCGCCUUUAGAGCGGCCCGCGUCUGAUUAGCUUGUUGGUGAGGUAAUGGCUCACCAAGGCGACGAUCAGUAGCUGGUCUGAGAGGAUGACCAGCCACACUGGGACUGAGACACGGCCCAGACUCCUACGGGAGGCAGCAGUGGGGAAUCUUGCGCAAUGGGCGAAAGCCUGACGCAGCCAUGCCGCGUGGAUGAUGAAGGUCUUAGGAUUGUAAAAUCCUUUCACCGGUGAAGAUAAUGACUGUAGCCGGAGAAGAAGCCCGGCUAACUCGUGCCAGCAGCCGC
rnacentral:rRNA from 1 species